GUGCGAGACCGAUAGCGAACAAGUACCGUGAGGGAAAGAUGAAAAGAACUUUGAAAAGAGAGUUAAAGAGUACCUGAAACUGCUGAAAGGGAAGCGAAUCGUAUCCAGUGUCUAUAAUCUGCGACAUAUUUCAUUGGCGGCAGUGUGCGUGCUUUUGCGUCGGAAGCGGCUUUUGUUGCUCUGUGCUUUUGCUGUGCGCGCUGUUGCUGUUGCCCUGUGUUGCGGUGGGACGUCAGAGUCAGUUCGUAUGCUGCGGGAAAUGGCCGCCGAGGAGGUAGGUCGCUUCGGUGGCUGUUAUAUCUUGGUGGUUUGUUGUCGUGGUUGGGACUGAGGUGCCUACAAUGUGCUUUUGAGUGUUCCGGGUUCUCAUUUGGUGGACUGUUUGGAUAGCUUGCUAUGCUUGUGGUUUUUUCAUCGAGUGAUUGAGUCUGGUGGUAACUUGUUGCUGUUCGGGACUUUGAA
rnacentral:rRNA from 1 species